UGCCACCAUGGGACUGCCAGGAAAAAGGCCAUCUUCUGUGAAGAGAUCCAUCAAGGAGAGACUCUUGCAGGGUAUCUUUGGAGCCUGUCUUGGAACUUACUUUGUAGACUAGGCUGACCUUGAACUCACAAAGAUCUGCUGGCUUCUGCCUCCUGAGUGCUGGAUUAAAGGUCUCAGAUCAUUGUCCAUUACUCAGCCUUGUCCAUCCCUAGGGGAAAGUGGAAGGAGAGGAUGCAUAGAAGCCUCUAGAACUACCACCUGCAGUCUGCCAAGCGAACAUGACUAAGUGCUUUAAGGGAGGUGAGAUCCUGCGUGUGGUUAGAGGUGUGGUGGGGCUAAUAAUGAAUCACUGGGGCUUCUUACUCAGAGGUAAAAAGCCUCCUUUCCCAACCAGAGGCUUUCUCAGUCUUUUGUGACUCCCCUCCCCCCACCUCCAGGCACCUCUGUCAAAUGGCAAAGCAGCUACGACUUUGUUUUGCUUGUUUGUUUGAGAGAAAACUCUGUAGACCAGGCUGGCCUCGAACUCACAGAGAUCCACCUACCUCUGCCUCCCAAGUGCUGGGACUAAAGGUGUGCACCACCACCAGGCUAUCACCACUCUCUUAAUUGCAAUGUUUUGGCAAGAAAGGCCCCCUUUCUCAGGAAGUUUUGUCCAAGACAAAAGGCUAGAAAUACAGGUGCAUAAAAGGACAUCUUCCCCCUGCUUCUUGAUGACAAAACUAAGCCUUCCAAUGAGGUCAUAUGAAUUGGAGAUAGGACAGGCUAGGAGUCACCAGCCACUUAUUUCACUUUCUCCAGUUCAGUGAUUCUCUGCUAAGAUGAUUCUGUCACCUACAGGACAGCGGGCAAGGUACGCAGGGCUAUGUGCAAGCAAGCAAGGGGAGAGCAGGUAUGCUACGAGAAUUUAGAGGGCAGAGGCCAAGUGUUACUAAAUGUCUUAUUAUGCACAGGAUAGGCUCCAACCCCAUAAUAAGGAGUUAUUUAGACACAAGUGUCCUAGAUUGAGAAAUAAGAGAAAAAACUUUUUUCUAUCUUUUUUUUUAAUAAAGAUAUGGUUUUGAAACCUGAGAUCACAGAUGAAAUUUAAUAUCAUUUUUAAAAUUAGAUUCCUGAUUGGAGAUUUAACUCAGUGGUAGAGCACUUGCCUAGCAAGAACAAGGUCCGGGGUUCGGUCCUCAGCUAUAAAAAGGAGACCUCAUAGUAGUCUUGGCUAACCUGGAGCUCACUACAUAAGCCAAGCUGGUCUCAAACUUGGACUAAUCAUCCUGCUUGCUCUGUUUCACCCCUGCCCCUGAGUGCUGGGAUCCUGGAUGUGCUGCAUGCCCAGCUUUAACAUAAACGUAUUCUGAAUCACAAUGAUGACUUCAUAACAGAGAUCUGGUUUCCAUGAUUUGGAAAUCAUGUGGUCUGGUUUCCAUGCUUUUCUUUUGUAUGUGUUGUUGCAAUUAAAUAAGGCAUUUAACUUUAAUAGCCUAUAAGCUUAAUUUUAAUAUUUUAUAUGUUUGGGGUAGGUUGUCAUUAGGUUAGCAAAGCUUAAUAUAAAAGAUGAUUGUUGAUUUGACUUUUGCUUUAUACUGAUUUGUCGAACAUUAAUGGAGCUGCCUUGCCUGUUAUACUUAGUUAACUAUGAAGAAGGAACAAUGACUUUUCAUGAGUCAGAUAACUGUCUCUCAUAACAAAUUAGGCCCAAGGCAACUACUGACAAAGAACACUAUGAUCAAAGAUUCUAUGCUUCUUUAUAGAGGAAAAAAAAUGGUAGAAUUGAGUCACCAUCCAAGGGUGUAGUCAAGACAGGCACAUGCAAUUCCAAGGAGCCCUACUCCAGAAGUCAGGACCAUCUCCAUACAGAGCCUUGCUUCCAGGAAGCUUAACUUGUAUGUUUCCACUUGCAUUUCUACCCUGAAUUUUGUGGGUUUGUUUUUUAUUUUUUAUUUUAUUUAUUUUGUUUUUUUGAAAUAGGUUUUCUCUGUGUAACAGCCUUGGCUGUCCUGGGACUAGCUUUGUAGACCAGGCUGGCCUCAACUCACAGAGAUUCACCUGCCUCUGACUCCCAAGUGCUGGGAUUAAAGGCACACGCCACCACACCCACCAUGUGGUUUUGCUUUGUUUUGUUUUUAAAGAAGCCAUAUUCAGGGGCUGGAAAGAUGGUUCAGUAAUUAAGGGCACUCAUUCUUCCAGAGGACCUGAAUUCAGUUCCAAGUAACCACAAGAUGGCUCACAACUAACUGUCUAUAACUCCACUUCCUGUAGACUCAAAACUUCUGGCCUCCUCGAGCACCUAGAAUUUUUGUGGCACACAUACAUACAUGUAAGCAAUACUCGUGUAUACAGUUAAAUAAAACUAAAUAAAUCUUUUUAAAAGUUUUCCGAAAAAAUCUGGCCGAGCUGUGGCGUUGCACACCUUUAGUCCCAACACUGAGAAGGCAGAGGCAGAAGGAUAUCUGAGUUUGAGGUUAGCCCGGUCUACAGAGCGAGUUCCAGGGCAUCCAGGUCUACACAGAGAAACCUUGUUUCCAAAAAGAAAAAACAAAACAAACAAACAAACAAACAAAAAAAACAA